rnacentral:rRNA from 1 species
GACGAACGCUGGCGGCGUGCUUAACACAUGCAAGUCGAACGGAAAGGCCCUGCUUUUGUGGGUGCUCGAGUGGCGAACGGGUGAGUAACACGUGAGUAACCUGCCCUUGACUUUGGGAUAACUUCAGGAAACUGGGCUAAUACCGGAUAGGAGCUCCUGCUGCAUGGUGGGGUUGGAAAGUUUCGGCGGUUGGGGAUGGACUCGCGGCUUAUCAGCUUGUUGGUGGGGUAUGGCUUACCAAGGCUUUGACGGUAGCCGGCCUGAGAGGUGACGGCCACAUUGGGACUGAGAUACGGCCCAGACUCCUACGGAGGCAGCAGUGGGGAAUAUUGCAC